AUUGAACGCUGGCGGCAGGCUUAACACAUGCAAGUCGAGCGGGGUGAUGGUGCUUGCACUAUCACUUAGCGGCGGACGGGUGAGUAAUGCUUAGGAAUCUGCCUAUUAGUGGGGGACAACAUCUCGAAAGGGAUGCUAAUACCGCAUACGUCCUACGGGAGAAAGCAGGGGAUCACUUGUGACCUUGCGCUAAUAGAUGAGCCUAAGUCGGAUUAGCUAGUUGGUGGGGUAAAGGCCUACCAAGGCGACGAUCUGUAGCGGGUCUGAGAGGAUGAUCCGCCAAACUGGGACUGGGACACGGACCAGACGCCUACGGGAGGCAGCAGUGGGGAAUAUUGGACAAUGGGGGGAACCCUGAUCCAGCCAUGCCGCGUGUGUGAAGAAGGCCUUAUGGUUGUAAAGCACUUUAAGCGAGGAGGAGGCUCUUUUGGUUAAUACCCAAGAUGAGUGGACGUUACUCGCAGAAUAAGCACCGGCUAACUCUGUGCCAGCCGCCGCCGUAA
rnacentral:rRNA from 1 species